rnacentral:tRNA from 1 species
GUCCAUGGUAGCCUAGUGGACAUGGCAUCUGUCUGGUAAGCAGAACACUGUGGGUUCAAUUCCCAUCCCUGUACC